rnacentral:rRNA from 1 species
UACGGAGGGUGCGAGCGUUGUCCGGAAUCAUUGGGCGUAAAGGGCGCGUAGGUGGCCCGGUCAGUCUUUGGUGAAAGCGCGGGGCUCAACCCUGCGUCGGCCAGGGAUACUGCCGCGGCUCGAGCACUGUAGAGGCAGGCGGAAUUCCGGGUGGUAGCGGUGGAAUGCGUAGAGAUCCGGAAGAACAUCAGUGGCGAAGGCGGUCUGCUGGGCCGAUACUGACGCUGAGGAGCGAAAGCGUGGGGAGCGAACAGG